rnacentral:rRNA from 1 species
CCUACGGGAGGCAGCAGUGGGGAAUAUUGCACAAUGGGGGAAACCCUGAUGCAGCGACGCCGCGUGAGUGAAGAAGUAUCUCGGUACGUAAAGCUCUAUCAGCAGGGAAGAAAAUGACGGUACCUGACUAAGAAGCCCCGGCGAACUACGUGCCAGUAGCCGCGGUAAUACGUAGGGGGCAAGCGUUAGCCGGAUUUACUGGGUGUAAAGGGAGCGUAGACGGCUGCACAAGUCUGGAGUGAAAUCCCGGGGCUUAACCCCGGAACUGCUUUGGAAACUUUGCGGCUGGAGUGCAGGAGGGGUAAUCGGAAUUCCUAGUGUACCGGUGAACUGCGUAGAUAUUAGGAGGAACACCGGUGGCGAAGGCGGCUUACUGGACUGUAACUGCCGUUGAGGCUCGAAAGCGUGGGGAGCAAACAGGAUUAGAUACCCCUGUAGUC